rnacentral:rRNA from 1 species
UUUUCCUACGGGGGGCAGCAGUGGGGAAUAUUGCACAAUGGGGGAAACCCUGAUGCAGCGACGCCGCGUGAGUGAAGAAGUAUUUCGGUAUGUAAAGCUCUAUCAGCAGGGAAGAUAAUGACGGUACCUGACUAAGAAGCCCCGGCUAACUACGUGCCAGCAGCCGCGGUAAUACGUAUGGUGCGAGCGUUAUCCGGAUUUAUUGGGUUUAAAGGGUGCGCAGGCGGUCUGUUAAGUCAGCGGUCAAAGCCCGGGGCUCAACCCCGGCCCGCCGUUGAAACUGGCAGUCUCGAGUUGGAGAGAAG